rnacentral:rRNA from 1 species
GACGAACGCUGGCGGCGUGCUUAACACAUGCAAGUCGAACGGAAAGGCCCUGCUUUUGUGGGGUGCUCGAGUGGCGAACGGGUGAGUAACACGUGAGUAACCUGCCCUUGACUUUGGGAUAACUUCAGGAAACUGGGGCUAAUACCGGAUAGGAGCUCCUGCUGCAUGGUGGGGGUUGGAAAGUUUCGGCGGUUGGGGAUGGACUCGCGGCUUAUCAGCUUGUUGGUGGGGUAGUGGCUUACCAAGGCUUUGACGGGUAGCCGGCCUGAGAGGGUGACCGGCCACAUUGGGACUGAGAUACGGCCCAGACUCCUACGGGAGGCAGCAGUGGGGAAUAUUGCACAAUGGGCGGAAGCCUGAUGCAGCAACGCCGCGUGCGGGAUGACGGCCUUCGGGUUGUAAACCGCUUUCGCCUGUGACGAAGCGUGAGUGACGGUAAUGGGUAAAGAAGCACCGGCUAACUACGUGCCAGCAGCCGCGGUGAUACGUAGGGUGCGAGCGUUGUCCGGAUUUAUUGGGCGUAAAGGGCUCGUAGGUGGUUGAUCGCGUCGGAAGUGUAAUCUUGGGGCUUAACCCUGAGCGUGCUUUCGAUACGGGUUGACUUGAGGAAGGUAGGGGAGAAUGGAAUUCCUGGUGGAGCGGUGGAAUGCGCAGAUAUCAGGAGGAACACCAGUGGCGAAGGCGGUUCUCUGGGCCUUUCCUGACGCUGAGGAGCGAAAGCGUGGGGAGCGAACAGGCUUAGAUACCCUGGUAGUCCACGCUGUAAACGGUGGGUACUAGGUGUGGGGUCCAUUCCACGGGUUCCGUGCCGUAGCUAACGCUUUAAGUACCCCGCCUGGGGAGUACGGCCGCAAGGCUAAAACUCAAAGGAAUUGACGGGGCCCCGCACAAGCGGCGGAGCAUGCGGAUUAAUUCGAUGCAACGCGUAGAACCUUACCUGGGUUUGACAUGGAUCGGGAGUGCUCAGAGAUGGGUGUGCCUCUUUUGGGGUCGGUUCACAGGUGGUGCAUGCCUGUCGUCAGCUCGUGUCGUGAGAUGUUGGGUUAAGUCCCGCAACGAGCGCAACCCUUGUUCACUGUUGCCAGCACGUUAUGGUGGGGACUCAGUGGAGACCGCCGGGGUCAACUCGGAGGAAGGUGGGGAUGACGUCAAGUCAUCAUGCCCCUUAUGUCCAGGGCUUCACGCAUGCUACAAUGGCUGGUACAGAGAGUGGCGAGCCUGUGAGGGUGAGCGAAUCUCGGAAAGCCGGUCUCGGUUCGGAUUGGGGUCUGCAGCUCGACCUCAUGAAGUCGGAGUCGCUAGUAAUCGCAGAUCAGCAACGCUGCGGUGAAUACGUUCCCGGG